UAAUGGCUAUUCAAAACUUCGCUGCUUUUCUCUACAUUUCCAGAAUGGCGAUCCAAUUUACGUGGCAGGCAUUGAUACCUCUGUGUGGAACUUUAAUAAAAUAUAUAAGACACUCUUCAUCCAAAGUCAGUACAAAAAACUUAAACAGUCUUUGACACCAACGAGUGGCUCUUUCCAGAUCCCUAGAAAUCUCUCCAAAACUUCAUCAGCAGCAUCUGAUACUCCUGAUGUCUCCCCGCUUUGAAAACUGCCAUCCGUGCCUAUCAGCUACCAAAGGACUCCCAACUGUACUUACGUAUGCAGUGGUCUUCAUGUCUACGGAGCAUUUUCUCUUGGAUAUCUCAAAGGUUUUGUCUCAAGUCCUGGGACCCAAAAGAUUCCUUCUUCCGGACAUAUUCCAUGGUCCUGUUGAAUGGUCAAAGUGACCAGAGCCCCCCUUCUGCCCCCCACAUGCUAUACUAGCAUCUACCGAAGACUCAGAACCAUGAAGUGGCUUAGCCCCCAUUUUGCUACCAUUAGGACAACACAUCAAUUUUGUGCCACAACUUUACGUUAGCUUUGUACUAUAAAAGACAUCUAUAGCUAACAGUGUAUUUUUUUAAAAAAACCCAUAAAAUAAGCAGAAAAAUAAAACUUUUUUCCAAAGCU